GUUCUACUGCCUCACUGAUACUACUAUAGACUGUCUAAUAAUACACAGCCUGCAGGCCUUCAGUGAUAGAGGGGGUUGGAUAGGCCUUCAGUGAUUGGUAUAGAGGGGUUGGAUAGGCCUUCAGUGAUUGGUAUAGAGGGGUUGGAUAGGCCUUCAGUGAUUGGUAUAGAGGGGUUGGUAGGCCUUCAGUGAUUGGUAUAGAGGGGUUGGAUAGGUCUUCAGUGAUUGGUAUAGAGGGGGUUGGGUAGGCCUUCAGUGAUUGGUAUAGAGGGGGCUGGAUAGGCCUUCAGUGAUUGGUAUUGAGGGGGUUGGAUAGGUCUUCAGUGAUUGGUAUAGAGGAGGUUGGAUAGGCCUUCAGUGAUUGGUAUAGAGGAGGUUGGAUAGGCCUUCAGUGAUUGGUAUAGAGGGGGUUGGUAGGCCUUCAGUGAUUGGUAUAGAGGGGGUUGGUAGGCCUUCAGUGAUUGGUAUAGAGGGGGUUGGAUAGGCCUUCAGUGAUUGGUAUAGAGGGGUUGGAUAGGCCUUCAGUGAUAGAGGGGUUGGGUAGGCCUUCAGUGAUUGGUAUAGAUGGGGUUGGAUAGGCCUUCAGUGAUUGGUAUAGAGGGGUUGGAUAGGCCUUCAGUGAUAGAGGGGUUGGGUAGGCCUUCAGUGAUUGGUAUAGAUGGGGUUGGAUAGGCCUUCAGUGAUUGGUAUAGAGGGGUUGGAUAGGCCUUCAGUGAUAGAGGGGUUGGGUAGGCCUUCAGUGAUUGGUAUAGAGGGGUUGGUAGGCCUUCAGUGAUUGGUAUGGAGGGGUUGGGUAGGCCUUCAGUGAUUGGUAUAGAGGGGUUGGAUAGGGCUUCAGUAAUUGGUAUAGAGGGGUUGGGUAGGCCUUCAGUGAUUGGUAUGGAGGGGGUUGGAUAGGUCUUCAGUGAUUGGUAUAGAGGAGGUUGGAUAGGCCUUCAGUGAUAGAGGGGUUGGGUAGGCCUUCAGUGAUUGGUAUAGAGGGGUUGGAUAGGCCUUCAGUGAUUGGUAUAGAGGGGUUGGAUAGGUCUUCAGUGAUUGGUAUAGAGGAGGUUGGAUAGGCCUUCAGUGAUAGAGGGGUUGGGUAGGCCUUCAGUGAUUGGUAUAGAGGGGUUGGAUAGGCCUUCAGUGAUAGAGGGGUUGGGUAGGCCUUCAGUGAUUGGUAUAGAGGGGUUGGAUAGGCCUUCAGUGAUUGGUAUAGAGGGGGUUGGAUAGGGCUUCAGUGAUUGGUAUAGAGGGGGUUGGAUAGGCCUUCAGUGAUUGGUAUAGAGGGGUUGGAUAGGCCUUCAGUGAUUGGUAUAGAGGGGUUGGAUAGGCCUUCAGUGAUUGGUAUAGAGGGGUUGGAUAGGCCUUCAGUGAUUGGUAUAGAGGGGUUGGAUAGGCCUUCAGUGAUUGGUAUAGAGGGUUACUCAGGAGCUAGAGAGCUGGUUGGAUAGGCCUUCAGUGACGGUAGCCAGCCAAAUGACAGCAGUCUACGUAUGAGUUAGUUUUAUGAGUUAUAUUUUAUGAGAAAAAAUAAAUAAAUUAAACACAUUGUCUCCCCUCAUCUGCUCCUGACUGCAUCUGCUGCCAUAGAAAUAGAAUGACUAGAACGGAUGGUGGCAUAAUGGCAGGACUGGCGGCCAUGUUGAGUGUCCCCAUAGGAGCAAAGCUAGGUUAUAAAAUUUGAAGGUUAAAGACACCGGCUUCACAAUAAUGUUUGAGGUUCUACCUCUCUGAAUCAACCAUGUGAUCAGCUCAGGUAUUGGAGCUACGCUGCCUCGGCAGAAGGCAAGCUGUCUGAAACAGAUCAUGAGGUUGGUAAGGAAAUAAAAUAGCAUUGAAGCUAAUGUGAGAAAAGAGACAACCAUCUAGCCAGCUAGCUAACGUCUGGGCUGAAGAUUACAAGGUUAAUAAGACAGAGGGGUUCUAAUAUCCCAUAAUUUGGCGAUUCAUGGGACCGGCGUUGCUAAUUAGCAAGUAGUUUUCAACUGAGCUGGUCCCAUGAAUUUGUUUUAUUUUCAAAUCCUUCCUGAUGGGAGUUAUUACGUUGUUGUAACCUUGUUUUUUUUUUAACCUUGGAGCAAAGCAGGAAGUAAAAGCAGGAAGUGUACCCUGUGCUGUUAUUUGUUGAUUCAACUCUACAGACGUUACAAAUAAUACAUUCCAUUGUUUGAGCCACAUCAGUGAACAUCAUUUGAAUAAACAUUCUACAUUACCAUGGAAAUUAUUACAUCACAAUACCAGGCAGCCAUGAGUUUACCAGUCAUAUUACCAGGGUUAGAGGUUCCAAGCCU